GCCCGCUUGGCUAAGUGGUAUAGCGUGUCACUAGUAAUGGCUCUUCACAAAAAGACCAGCAAACUAGAUGCCAUGACAAGAUCAGCGGUUCGAUUCCGCUAGUGGGCA